rnacentral:antisense_RNA from 1 species
AGGGGCUACCCAGGCAGAGAGCUGAGAACACAGUGGCCAUCAGCCUCGCUAUCACCUCCACCCCCAAAGUGCUUGGCUCCCAAAGGACAGCUCUAAAAUCCCCAGAAUCUCAGGCUGGUGGGUCCAGCUGAGCAUCCUAGUUUUCACUUUCUCCUCCCAAAAAGGAAAGAACCUUGGUCACUAAAUUCUACGCCUUCUGGAAAUCACUCUAAUGACUUCCUGAAUGAUCGACUGAGACCAACAGCUGGCCCAGCCCUGCAUGGAGCAGUAAGAAACCCUCAUCUGUCAGAGUUAAGGGGCCUGAAUGGGUACAGGUCACAUUCUUGGAGCUCAAGGUGACAGGCCAGAGCCCAGAUCCCCAGGACAGUGCAGCACCUUGUCCAGGCGGGCCUCCCGUUUCUGGCUCCGGGCUGAGCUUCCUGGAGAAGAGGAAGGUAAGAUACAUGGAAGGGAUGGAGGUGGUGUGCAUCAUACCUGCCUGGACCUCACUCAUCACUUGGGGAGCUGGUUAAACAUGCAGGUCCCCAGGCCUCUGUCUUGGAGGACCUGAGGUUCAG